AUACUUACCUUCCGCCGGGGCUGUGUUGAUCCCCGAGGACGAGCCCCCAGGGCUAGGCGCGGGCAUUGCACUGCGCUCGUGUUUACCCCUGCCACUACCCCAAACUGGGGCAGAUGGGACGUGCAAACUGC
rnacentral:snRNA from 1 species